rnacentral:rRNA from 1 species
UACGAAGGAUUCGAGCGUUAUCCGGAUUUAUUGGGUUUAAAGGGUGCGUAGGCGGAUUAAUAAGUCAGUGGUGAAAGCCCAGAGCUCAACUCUGGAACUGCCAUUGAUACUGUUAAUCUUGAGUACAGUUGAGGUGGGCGGAAUGUGUCAUGUAGCGGUGAAAUGCUUAGAUAUGACACAGAACACCGAUUGCGAAGGCAGCUCACUAAGCUGUAACUGACACUGAGGCACGAAAGCGUGGGGAGCAAACAGG